CCGAGUUAUACAACUCCCAAACCCCCUGUGAACCUUACCACACGCGUUGCCUCGGCGGGACCGCCCCGGCGCCCUCGCGGCCCGGACCAAGGCGCCCGCCGGAGGACCACCAGACUCUCGUCGCAGUGGCAUUUCCCUCCGAGUCAAAACAAGCAAAAUGAAUCA
rnacentral:misc_RNA from 1 species